GGAUUAGGCAUGCAAGUCGAGCGAGAAGGGUUCUGGUGCUUGCAUUGGAACCCCCAAAGCGGCGAAAGGGAGAGUAACGCGUAGUUACGUACCCAGGGGUUCGGAAUAGCCACGGGAAACUGUGGGUAAUGCCGAAUAACAUCUCCGGAUCAAAGGUGUGAUUCCGCCCCUGGAGCGGACUGCGUCCUACUAGCUUGUUGGCGGGGUAAUGGCCCACCAAGGCAACAAUGGGUAGCGGGUGUGAGAGCAUGACCCGUCUCACUGGGACUGAGACACUGCCCAGACACCUACGGGUGGCUGCAGUCGAGAAUCUUCGGCAAUGGGCGAAAGCCUGACCGAGCGACGCCGCGUGCGGGAUGAAGGCCCUCGGGUUGUAAACCGCUGUCGUAGGGGAGGAAGGCUCCGUGAAGAACGGGGUUUGACCUAUCCUAGGAGGAAGUACGGGCUAAGUUCGUGCCAGCAGCCGCGGUAAUACGAACCGUACAAACGUUAUUCGGAAUCACUGGGCUUAAAGGGUGCGUAGGCGGCCAUGUAAGUGAGGUGUCAAAUCCCUCGGCUCAACCGAGGAACUGCGCUUCAUACUGCAUGGCUUGAGGGAGACAGGGGUAAGCGGAACUGAUGGUGGAGCGGUGAAAUGCGUUGAUAUCAUCAGGAACACCGGUGGCGAAAGCGGCUUACUGGGUCUCUUCUGACGCUGAGGCGCGAAAGCCAGGGGAGCAAACGGGAUUAGAUACCCCGGUAGUCCUGGCCCUAAACGAUGGGUACUAGAUUGCGGGCUUACAUGGGUUCGCAGUCGAAGCUAAUGUUUUAAGUACCCCGCCUGGGGAGUAUGGUCGCAAGGC
rnacentral:rRNA from 1 species